rnacentral:rRNA from 1 species
UACGAAGGGGGCGAGCGUUGUUCGGAAUUACUGGGCGUAAAGGGCGCGUAGGCGGCCCUCUUUGUCGCGUGUGAAAGCCCCGGGCUCAACCUGGGAACGGCGCGCGAAACGGGGGGGCUGGAGUUCGGGAGAGGAGCGUGGAAUUCCCAGUGUAGCGGUGAAAUGCGUAGAUAUUGGGAGGAACACCAGUGGCGAAGGCGGCUCACUGGACCGGAACUGACGCUGAGGCGCGAAAGCGUGGGGAGCAAACAGG